UAAAUUGUUAGGGGUGUGCCAGCCUCACUCCAUAUGCUAGGCAUGACCACCUCAUACAAUGGUCUUCCUCUAAUAUACCACCUUUGCACUUAUUCUUAGUGCUUUAAGUCCUACUUCCCCCUUAGUAAGCCAUGCUUAAGGGACCCCAUAGUCUCCUCUGAACUUGGAUGCUUUGGGGAUAGUUCCACACUUGCACUACUCUAAAGAGAAAGCUUCGGUUCGGGAGCCUGGAUUUGGCAAAGGGCAUACGUUGGACAUUAAAGUUGCUUUGCGCUCCUUCGGGCCUGUUGUAGUGUUGAUGUGUUAUUUAUUUCUGUUAAUGUUAUUUUUUGGUCCAAAUUAUUGUAAGUAACUUUUAAUAAAAGAACUUGGGGAUCUAGUGAAAGGGAAUACAUGAGAGAUUUACCUUUCUUGCGUUAUCUCAUAUAGUUACCAUGGCUAUAGGGUUUUACUUUUUGCAUCAUCUCAUGUAGAUACCAUGCUUAUAGGCUUUUACUUUUUGCAUCAAUAUCAUAUAGUUACCAUGUCUAUAAGGGUUUACAUUCUAGCAUCUUAUAUAGAUGUCAUGUCAAUAGGCUUUUCGUUAUUGCAUCAACUUCAUAAUAGAAAUCAUAUCUGUAGGUCUGCAUUCUUACAACCUCAUAUAGAAACCAUGCUUAUAGGUUUGCACUCUCAUAAUCUCGCCUAGAAAACAUGCGUAUCGGAACCAUAUAAACGUUAGAAAAAAUAGUAGGUCGUCCAAACUUGU
rnacentral:lncRNA from 1 species